CCUACGGGAGGCAGCAGUGGGGAAUAUUGCACAAUGGGGGAAACCCUGAUGCAGCGACGCCGCGUGAGUGAAGAAGUAACUCGUUAUGUAAAGCUCUUUUAGUAGGGAAGUAAAUUACAGUAUCUGUGUAACAAGCCCCGGCUAACUACGUGCCAGCAGCCGCGGUAAUACGUAGGGGGCAAGCGUUAUCCGGAUUUACUGGGUGUAAAGGGAGCGUAGACGGCAGUGCAAGUCUGGAGUGAAAGGCGGGGGCUCAACCCCCGGACUGCACUGGAAACUGUACGGCUGGAGUGCAGGAGAGGUAAGUGGAAGUCGUGGUGUAGCGGUGAAAUGCGUAGAUAUUAGGAGGAACACCAGUGGCGAAGGCGGCUUACUGGACUGUAACUGACGUUGAGGCUCGAAAGCGUGGGGAGCAAACAGGAUUAGAUACCCUUGUAGUC
rnacentral:rRNA from 1 species